AUGCGUUCAUACCACCAGCUGUAUUGUGGAAACUGCACAAAAGAGCCAUUAACUUCACAGAGUACUGUAGCACAGGGGAGGCAUGAGAAUCAGAAGUGUGAUGUUCUCCUCAGAAAUCACCUCUAAAAUAUCAAAGUUCUAUCUGAUGUUUAAAAUAUUUAUUUCCUAAAUUUGGACUCAAAAAAUAGGGGUUGUCUUAUACAUGGGGGCAUCUGAU